rnacentral:rRNA from 1 species
UGGGGAAUAUUGGACAAUGGGCGGAAGCCUGAUCCAGCAACGCCGCGUGAGGGAUGACGGCCUUCGGGUUGUAAACCUCUUUCAGUACCGACGAAGCGAAAGUGACGGUAGGUACAGAAGAAGGACCGGCCAACUACGUGCCAGCAGCCGCGGUAAUACGUAGGGUCCGAGCGUUGUCCGGAAUUAUUGGGCGUAAAGGGCUCGUAGGCGGUUUGUCGCGUCGGGAGUGAAAACCAUGGGCUUAACUCAUGGCUUGCUUUCGAUAAGGGCAGACUAGAGGUAUGCAGGGGAGAAUGGAAUUCCUGGUGUAGCGGUGAAAUGCGCAGAUAUCAGAAGGAACACCGGUGGCGAAGGCGGUUCUCUGGGCAUUACCUGACGCUGAGGAGCGAAAGUGUGGGGAGCGAACAGG